UACGUAGGGGGCAAGCGUUGUCCGGAUUUAUUGGGCGUAAAGAGCUCGUAGGUGGUUCGGUAAGUCGGAUGUGAAAAUCUCCAGGCUCAACCUGGAGGGGUCAUUCGAUACUGCCGUGACUAGAGGUCGGUAGGGGAGUGUGGAAUUCCUGGUGUAGCGGUGAAAUGCGCAGAUAUCAGGAAGAACACCCGUGGCGAAGGCGGCUCUCUGGGACGGUACUGACGCUGAGACGCGAAAGCGUGGGGAGCAAACAGG
rnacentral:rRNA from 1 species